rnacentral:rRNA from 1 species
UAUUGGGCGUAAGCGCGCGCAGGUGGUUUCUUAAGUCUGAUGUGAAAGCCCACGCCUCAACCGUGGAGGGUCAUUGGAAACUGGGAGACUUGAGUGCAUAAGAGGAAAGUGGAAUUCCAUGUGUAGCGGUGAAAUGCGUAGAGAUAUGGAGGAACACCAGUGGCGAAGGCGACUUUCUGGUCUGUAACUGACACUGACGCGCGAAAGCGUGGGGAGCAAACAGGAUUACAUACCCUGGCAGCCCACGCCGUAAUGCGAUGAGUGCUAAGUG